rnacentral:lncRNA from 1 species
CUAAGACUCCCUGACUCUCAAACUGUGCCCAGCACAUAGAAGACUCCCAACUAAUAUUUGUGGAAUGAGUGAAUGAACUACUCACUUUUUACAUGAAAGUUGGCCCUGUGAAGGGUUAGAUUGGUCAGAGAAGACCUCAUGGUAAGAACCGCAGAACUUUCAGCAUGUAACAACUCCAUCCAAACCUCUGUACUAAAGAGAAAUGCACCAAACUCUAGCCUGGCUUCUAGCAGCAGAAGGCGAUGUCCGUAGGAUGGCCCCAGCCCUGUAUUAACAUGUCUGCCUGAGAAAGCCUAGAGCUGCCAGGAGAAUUUUCUGUUCGUCCCAGACCUCUAUUGGGGCUCAAAAACCAAUACCCCAAAAUAUGAUGCUUUGACAUGCUGAACCAAGGAAGCAGCCUCAAUGUCUCUCUGACCUCCCCUCACUACUGUCUCUCAAUCCUCUGGCUCUCCCAAAGCACAGAAUGAAGUUGUUCUCUGAAGUUCCCAUAUCUGCCUAAAUGCCAGACCCACCAAAGAAGAAAACAAUUUCCUCUUGCCUCUGGUUAUUUCCCUGAGUUUUUAUUAACUUAACUCAUAUUGCAGGAAAGAAGACUGAAGUAUGUCAACACACCUGGACAGACUUUUCUCACAAACCAUUGUCUGCUCUGCAGGCCCAACAGACUUUGUUCCAGGCCAUUGUAUGUUCUUCAAGCCCAGUGAAUUCCCCUGAAAAUCAUUUACUAUCCCCCUAAAAUCAUCACACUUCCCCAUCUCUCUUUCCCCUAAGUAAAGGAAGAAGGGGUAUAUAACCAUUUUUGCCCCAUUGCGUGGUGGGGUAGUCACUCUGAUUCUCCCCCAGGGACAUUAAUAAAUCUAUAUACCACUUCUAUUAGUAGUAGUAGUAGUAUUUCUGAGAGAGGGGCUCACUCUGCCACCCAGACUGGAGUGCAGUGUUAUGAUCUCGGCUCACUGCAGCCUCCACCUCUCCAGAUCAAAUGAUCCUCCCACCACAGCCUCUCAAGUAGCUGGGACUACAGGUAUGUACAACCAAGCCUAGAUAAUUUUUAAAUUUUUGUAGAGAUGGGAUCUCACUGUAUUGCCCAGACUGGUCUUGAACUUCUGGGCUCAAGCAAUCCUCCUGCCUUGGCCUCCCAAAGUGUUGAUAUUGCAGGUGUAAACCACUACGCCUGGUCUAUGGAUGUUAUUUCUCUUAUUAAAUCUGCCUUUUGUCAACUGACUUUCAGUGAACCUUCAGAGGACAAAGGAGAAGUUUUCCCUUGGCCCCUAUACCUCCUCUUAUUAAAGCAUUUACUGUAAAGGCCUUACAAUCAUGAAUCCUUCCUCUGUCCCUUUGAGAUGUAUAUAUAUCUCCUGCAAUUUAGGAUUGUCUUUCUCAAAGAUCUGAAGACCAU